rnacentral:lncRNA from 1 species
AAUUGUAAAGGUUCGUUGGUGAGCCCGUAAAACCAACAAAGGUUUUUGGUGAACCCGAAAAACCAAAGUGUAAAGGUUCGUUGGUGAGCCCGUAAAACCAACAAAGGUUUUUGGAUUGUGAGCCCGGAAAACAAUCCAACUGUAAUCCGCGAGAUUAUAGUGAAUUUCCAAGGGGUCGCUUGGGGAGCGGACGUAGGUGCUAAGG